AACGAACGCUGGCGGCAUGCCUAACACAUGCAAGUCGAACGAGAACUUCGGGUCUAGUGUCGCACGGGUGCGUCACGCGUGGGAACCUGCACUUAGGUUCGGAAUAACUCCCCGACAGGGGUGAUUUUACCGGAUAAUGUCUUCGGACCGAAGAUUUAUUGCCUUUGUUGGGGCCGGAGUUGGAUUCGCUGGUUGGGAGGGUAAAAGCCUAACAAGGCGACGAUCCAUAGAUGGUCAGAGAGGAUGAUCAGCCACACUGGGACUGAGACACGGCCCAGAAUCCUACGGGAGGGAGCAGUGGGUAAUAUAGGAAAAUGGGCUAAAGCAUGAUCCAGCAAUGCCGCGAGAGUGAUGAAGGCCGGAGGGUUGUAAAGCUCAAGUAACCGUGAUGAUAAUGACAGUACCGGGAGAAAAAGCUCCGGCUAACUCCGUG
rnacentral:rRNA from 1 species